AUGUCUUCCCCCAAGAUCUCCUGGGGGUUGCGUGUGCUCUGGUGUUCCUCGCACUGCUCAUGCCUCCAGCAUGAAGUUUCACAAAACUUAAUGCAAUCUGGGGAGCCUCUGUCCCUGCUAAUUGGGGAGAAUAAUGACGAGAGCAGCAAGACCAAGCGGCAGGAGACAAACGCUUGUGUGAAGGAUGGGGUGAGCGGAUUUGCCGGCACUUCACGCUSCCCUCCGGCCCCAUCACCCGUCAACGGUGGAAGGGAAGGAGCCCUCCCAGCUCAGGGACCGCCGAUUUCCUCCCCCACCUUCCYGGCUGGCCGCGCCGGGUCCGAGGCUUGCUCGUGUUUGCUGGCAGUGGUGAGGAAGCAGCGUCUGGAGAMGAAAAUGCUGGGGAGCUGGAUGUACCAAGCAGGCAAAGGAACAGCUUUCCCAAGCUGGAAGAUCGCUCCUUCCCUUCCUGCGGGUGUGUGGGAAAGGGUCAGGCCCAGCUGCUGCAGUGAGAGAGGUCGCAGUCACGGUGAUGCACACURUCGGCAUCACGCCAUCUCCGAGCCUGUGCAUUCAGCCUUCCCUCCUUCCACCAGCCGCUGCCGGGAGAAAAGGGUUAAGAAGCAACAAGACCGAGGAGUGAGACCAGGGAAUUCAGCUGCUGACGCAGAGCUGGCUGGCUUCACCGUAUUUCCUCCACAUCUGCUGGAAACCAGCUCACCAAACACCUCUCUCAGCUUCGGUCCUCAACUUGUAUUACAGAAGUUCCUAAAUCAGCUGGGUUCAGCUGGAACUUUUGUACUGACAUCACCACCACGACAUCCGCCACUCUGAUGCUUAGCGAGCCUCGAGUUCACUGCUCCUUCCUCCCCUCCGUUCCUGCCCCGUUUCCCCCGCGAGCCGGCCUCAGAGCCCAAGCGUUCCCCGAGAGGGAUUAGCCGUGUCUUCAGCCUACGUUUCAUUCUCCUCUUUUCUGCUGAUGUUGCCAGUCUCUCCUGCUCUCCAUUCUUCCCGUCGCGGGGUUUGCAACACCUCCUGAUUUAGUGUCAGCUGCAAACACGCUCCGUGUGCCGUGUACCGCCACUCCCACUCCAUUAAGGAAGAUGUUAAAUAAGACCAAGCCUGGCUUCACGAGUCCUGUAAAAUGUACUUGAGAUUAAAUCGGCGGGUUUAUUUUGAAAUGCCAUGGGGUCUUCUCCAGUGAGUGAGAUCCUUUUCACUUUAUUAACUACUUUACAGUGGUGUCUUUGAAGGGUGUAAAUCUGCCACGUGGAGUAUGUCC
ensembl:lncRNA